AAACUUUCAACAAUGGAUCUCUUGGUUCCGGCAUCGAUGAAGAACGCAGCGAACUGCGAUAAGUAAUGUGAAUUGCAGAAUUCAGUGAAUCAUCGAGUCUUUGAACGCACAUUGCGCCCCCUGGCAUUCCGGGGGGCAUGCCUGUCCGAGCGUCAUUGCUGCCC
rnacentral:rRNA from 1 species